AGAAAGAAAAGGAAAAUGGAUUUUAAAUAUUUAAUUUUGAUUAAAUUGAUUUUUUUAAAAAUAAAACAAUAGGGUUAAAUUGAAAUAAUUAAGAAAUAGGUGAUUAAUUGAGACAUAUGACUAAAUAAUAAAACAAGGGAAAGAUAGGAGUGUUAAUGUGGCAAAUAGCCAAUUUUUUUUGGGUGUUCUUCCUUACAAGGUUAAAACCCUAGUUCAUCUCUUUCAUUUGCAUUCAUUUUAUUUUUUUAAAGCUCUCAAAAUCUCUCAAAUUCUCAUCUCAUAUAUGAAAUUUCUCUCACCCUAACUCCAAAUAUUCACCAAGUUUUCAAAAAUAUCUUAUAAAUUCUAUUAAUUUCUCCAUUGUUUUUCAAAGUUACAACACUUGAUUUUCAAAAUCAGCCAUUGUUGAUCCAAGCUGAGUGCCGGAUCCAUCGGUGUUGUCAUGAAGCAAGUCAAGAAGUAAGGAGAAAGUCGGUUAAGCUUCCGACAAAGUGAGUGGAACAGUCGAGGUAUCUUCGAAAAGCAUGAAUGACAAAUUUAUCAUGUUGAGUUUGGAUUUUUGGAGGCCGGGAUGUUUUCGAAAAGAUCGGACUGAGCCAAUUGGGUUUGGGGCUCCACACCAUGAGUUUUAUAUCUUCUUUUUUAUCCUGACUUUACUCCAUAACUCUAUCAUUUCCUCCCCCUGCAUUUACCUUCUGUCCUCUGUCACCAACUCUUCCACUCUCAGCAUGGCCUCUUCUAUCCAAUACAUGACCCUUUCAAACCUUUUGCCUUCUCCAACCAGUCCAUAUGCUGCGUCGUUUGCUUCUCUAGGUUUAAGACAUUUUUAAUCGGGUAAGUGCAUGCUCCCAUUAUUAAUCCUUCAUGAUCUCGAAUGAUGAUUCCUAAUAUUGCUAAAUUUAUGAUUUGUCAAAACGAAGCAUCAAAGUUGAUUUUUAUUAUCUAUUCUUCUAGUGGGUGCCAUGAUUUGUCUUUAUCUCUUUUUAUGUCUGAUGUUACACUUUUGAUAUCCUUGACUUAUUUGAUAUAUGCCUUAACAUAGGAUAUAACACCAAAACUGUUAUGUCCUACAUUUUCAUGAUAUCUUUUAUUUUAGUUAAACCAUAUCACCCAGAAAUCAACUGCUAUUACCUUGCAUUCAUCUAUACUUGCUUUUAUAAACUCAAUUUCUAACCACAUUAUCCGUUCUUGGUUGUUGUUGUUUGUUUUGAAAGAUACUCCCAUAUCCUUCAGAAUUUUCCUUGUGAACGAGCAAUAUCGAAAAACAUGCUCAAUAGUUUCCUUACCAUCUCCACAAACAGGACAUUGAUUUGCCACUACAAAUUUCCUAUUUUGUAACACCUAUAACUUAGGCAUAUAGUUAUUAGUUAUUUUCCAUAGCAUAAUGUUUAUUAGCAGUGAUCUAUAAAUUCCAAAGCUUUGUAUAAUAAGUUUUUAGUGUUGUAAUUUGUAAUGUGCUCUAUCUGUUUGAUGUGUCUGUGGCCUCAGUCAUUAACCACUUGUAUCCAUUCUUUGCGGUGUAUACUCCACUGCUGUCACCUCUCCAAACCCACUUGUCAUCUUACACACAAUUUCUCAGCUGGAUUGUCAAAAUUCUUCUUGCAUCAUCUUCCUCAAACAGUUCACAAAUCACAUCCUCUUUCCAAGUAUUUUUCUUCUUCAUUAAUUAAAUAAAAAACUGUAGUAUAUUCCGUACUAAUUCUUUGCACUUGAACUCUCCCUUGACUAGGCCCUGGCAACCAGACAUUCUUUAUAACACCCUUAUACCAUGUUCGACUCAAGGAACUUGAUAUAGGAAUAUUACAUUUGGUGCCAAAGUAUUUCUUGGCUAAUUACUAAUGUAACAUCCUGAUUUUUGGGUUUUUCCGUGAUUCUCGAUAUUUUGGGUAAAGUUUUUAAAAUUUGGUAUUUGGUUGUGAAAUUCAUAAUUUGAGUAUGUAAAUGGGCUUAUGGAAGGCCCAUGUGUUGGCCAAAACCCUGUAGAAUUUUUGAAUUUUGGACUUAAGAAGUUAAGGGUAUUGGAUAGGUGGUCUUAUUAAAAUUUGUGGGUAAAAUGUAUCCCAAAAGAGCCUCUAGUAAAGUGGCUAAGCGACGCAACUAGGGAGCUAUAAAGGUGGCGUGUAAGUGGUUGGGGGAAGACCUGGGAUCGAUUCCCUGUGAUGGCAAAUAUGAUACUAAUUUUUAUGCUUUGAGCAUGCAGAAGUUGUAGUUGAAUGAAACUCUGUGGGAGAGAGUUUGAAAUAGUCAAAUGCAUGGAUUGAGGAGGGAUAAGGGGAGAGAUUUUAAAUAUUUGAGAGGGGGAUAGAGUUAGCCGAUUUGAGGGGAUUAGAGAGGGGAUUUCGGCAGGGGGUUUUAGUUAGGGAUUUUCGGCACUUGGGUACUUGUUGUGCCGUUUUCUUCUUUUUCUUUUUUCUUCUUCCCUAGCCGAAUCUACCACCCUUCCUUUCAUCUUUUCUUCCUUUUCCUUCUUCCAAACCAGCCCACUACUUCCCUCUAUUCAUCUAUUGUUUCUUCCCCUACCUUCACUUCUGCCGAAAUACCGCAAAAGCCGAAAUCUGUGAGCUAGGUGGUGCCGAUUCUUUGUUGACCAGCAACCCUCUUUUUCUUUUCACUUUUUGGUGGUCAAUUCCCUUAUCUUCUAGGCUUAAACAGAUUCAAGAAGAGAGACUGUGUGGAGGAGAAGCAAGGCGGAGUGUCGACUUGGAUUAGCUCGAAUCAUCGGAGUGACUAAAUCUAGUCAUCAACUUCGGCAAAGGUAUGGAUUCUAAGGCCAUUAUAGAUGGUGGCCGAAUGUGUAAGUGUUGAUAAUAGAUGGUUCUCGUUUUGGUUUACUUAUUGUGAGCUGAGCCAUAAGCGGUUGAUUAUAGGAGAAAUCGUGUAGGAGAUCUCGUCGAGGAAUAUCGCAAAUCAGGUGUGUAACGAACCUUCUUUCGUAGCUUAAAUCGAUAAAUGCCGAAAAGCCGAAAUGCCGAAAUUCUGGCAUUUUGAGGACUUGUGAGCAAGCGAACGCUCAUUGGUUAGUUAGAUUUCUCUAAGUUUAUGAUCAGGAACGU